UACGGAGGGGGCUAGCGUUGUUCGGAAUUACUGGGCGUAAAGCGUGCGCAGGCGGCUUUGCAAGACAGAUGUGAAAUCCCCGGGCUUAACCUGGGAACUGCAUUUGUGACUGCAUGGCUCGAGUGCGGCAGAGGGGGAUGGAAUUCCGCGUGUAGCAGUGAAAUGCGUAGAUAUGCGGAGGAACACCGAUGGCGAAGGCAAUCCCCUGGGCCUGCACUGACGCUCAUGCACGAAAGCGUGGGGAGCAAACAGG
rnacentral:rRNA from 1 species